GACGAACGCUGGCGGCGUGCUUAACACAUGCAAGUCGAGCGGUAAGGCCCUUUCGGGGGUACACGAGCGGCGAACGGGUGAGUAACACGUGGGUGACCUGCCCUCAGCUCUGGGAUAAGCCCGGGAAACUGGGUCUAAUACUGGAUAUGACUCCAUGACGCAUGUUGUGGGGUGGAAAGCCUUGUGCGGCUGAGGAUGGGCCCGCGGCCUAUCAGCUUGUUGGGGGGUGAU
rnacentral:rRNA from 1 species